CCGUUUUUACCAACUGGGGGUCGUCACGCAUCAGACCUCUGAUCAGGAAAGACUACCCGCUGAG
rnacentral:rRNA from 1 species